GCUGGUUCUCCGCGAAAUCUAUUUAGGUAGAGCGUCAUCCGAAUACCCCGGGGGGUAGAGCACUGGAUGGGUAAUGGGGCCCCACAGGCUUACUGAUCCUAACCAAACUCCGAAUACCCGGGAGUACUAGAUGGCAGACACACUGCGGAUGCUAACGUCCGUAGUGGAGAGGGAAACAACCCUGACCUACAGCUAAGGCCCCUAAUUCAUGGCUAAGUGGGAAAGCAGGUGGGAUGUCCAAAACAACCAGGAGGUUGGCUUAGAAGCAGCCACCCUUUAAAGAAAGCGUAAUAGCUCACUAGUCGAGUCGGCCUGCGCGGAAGAUGUAACGGGGCUCAAACUAGGAGCCGAAGCUGCGGAUUUAAUUGUUUCAAUUAAGUGGUAGGGGAGCAUUGUGUAAGCCUGUGAAGGUGUGUUGUAAAGCAUGCUGGAGGUAUCACAAGAGCGAAUGCUGACGUGAGUAACGACAAUGCGAGUGAAAAGCUCGCACGCCGGAAGACCAAGGGUUCCAGUCCAACGUUAAUCGGGGCUGGGUGAGUCGACCCCUAAGGCGAGGCCGAAAGGCGUAGUCGAUGGGAAAUCGGUUAAUAUUCCGAUACUUGUUUAUGAUGCGAUGGAGGGACGGAGAAGGUUAUGCCAGCUUGGCGAUGGUUGUCCAAGUGGAAGGAUGUAGUUAGGUUUAGUAGGCAAAUCCGCUAGACUAUUAAUGAGAUCUGAUAGCAAGCUGUACUUGUACAGCGAAGUGGCAAAUACCCUGCUUCCAGGAAAAGCUUCUAAACUUAUGAUUAUAUGAACCGUACCCCAAACCGACACAGGUGGUCAGGUAGAGAAUACUAAGGCGCUUGAGAGAACUCGGGUGAAGGAACUCGGCAAAAUUGUACCGUAACUUCGGGAGAAGGUAC
rnacentral:rRNA from 1 species